CUCAUGCUGCUGACCCACUUUCUUCUAGGCUGAUCUCCUCACUUCUUGAUGUGCACUCACUUCAAAAUCAACCUGGUAAUAUUCACAGCCAAGUCAAUGUGACAGGCUCCCAAAUGGAGGAUGAAGGCCACCAGGUCCCGGCCUUGAUAGAAAACCCAGAGCCCAAGGAGGAAGAGGUUGGAGGUGAAGAGGUCUGGGGUGGGGAGUGUGAGCAUGUGGGGAUGGGAUAAGGCUGGACAUGAAGAGCAGAUCUUCCAGAAACAGGGGCAGGUCAGAAACAGAAACAGAGCUGUCAUUGUCUGCAUGUCUUCUGGGAACACUCCCAAUGGGUGGGUUUGUGUGUGAAGCUCUGUGAAAGGCAGUAGGAAGUAUUGUCCCUGGAAGGAACAGGGAUAGUUGGUGACCUUUACUCCUCUUGCAGCUACAGGACCACCUCUGGUGCUUGUGGAGACUCCUGCUCAAGUUCCACCACCUCCACCACCUGAGAGAGAGCUGGAACCAGAAAUACCUGCAAUGGCACCUCCAGCCCAGCAGCUCCUGGUGGACCCUCUCCAGCAACACCCACUGAGCUCCUACCCCAGAGCUGCCCCUUCCCUCCCUUGUCAUUUUUUUCCUUCUUUUUAUAUGUUUAUAAUUUUGUUAAAACUACCUUCUUUUAAAAUUGAAUAUUUUAUUCAUUUUUAAAAGAUCCAGUUUAUUGGCAUUAAGUACAUUCUCAAAACUCUGCACUUAUCAUCAUUAUGUAGUUCCAGAACAUUUUCCUGAAUCUGGUACCCAUAAAACUCCCUCUCCCCACUCCCCCUAGUCCCCAGCAACCCUUUAUCAUUCUAGCCCUGUGAUAAUCCUUGUCUGCAUUUUUCAAAUCAGUGCAGUCUCAUUGCUCUCUGGCUACAUAAUGUUGGAACGGACUGAUGCAGUUUCCUUAGUAGGGUAAAUGCCACAUGGGUCUAACUUGAUUAUUUUUUUUAUUUCUAUUGUUUUAGUACAGGGUGUUGAAUCCAGGGGCACUUUACCACUGAGCUACAUUCCUGGUCCUUUUUCUUUUGACUUUUGAGACAGGUUCUUGGUCAGUUGCUUAGGAUCUCCCUGAGUUGCUAGGGCUGCCCUCAAACCUAUGAUCAUCUUGAU
rnacentral:lncRNA from 1 species